ensembl:misc_RNA Metazoa_SRP Metazoan signal recognition particle RNA
GCCGGGUGUGGUGGUGCACACCUGUAAUCCCAGCUACUCAGGAGGCUGAGGCAGGAGAAUCGCUUGAACCCAGGAGGCAGAGGUUGCAGAGAGCUGACAUCAGGCCACUGUACUCCAGCCUGGGCAACAGAGCAAGAUUCUGUCUCAA